rnacentral:tRNA from 1 species
GUCUAAGUAGCACAGUGGUUAGUGCACAGCCCCGGAUAGGUUGAGACGCGGGUUCGAUUCUCGCCUGAGAUG